UACGUAGGCAGCAAGCGUUGUUCGGAAUUACUGGGCGUAAAGAGUGUGUAGGCGGUGCCCUAAGUUUGGUGUGAAAUCUCCCGGCUCAACUGGGAGGGUGCAUCGAAAACUGGGGUGCUCGAGGGUGGGAGAGGUAAGCGGAAUUCCUGGUGUAGCGGUGAAAUGCGUAGAUAUCAGGAGGAACACCUGUGGUGUAGACAGCUUACUGGACCACUUCUGACGCUGAGGCGCGAAAGCUAGGGGAGCAAACGGG
rnacentral:rRNA from 1 species